rnacentral:rRNA from 1 species
GACGAACGCUGGCGGCACGCCUAACACAUGCAAGUCGAACGGACUUACAAGAGCUUGCUUUUUUAAGUUAGUGGCGGACGGGUGAGUAACACGUGAGCAACCUGCCUCUGAGAGGGGGAUAGCUUCUGGAAACGGAUGGUAAUACCCCAUAAAAUAUAAAUAUCGCAUGAUAGAUAUAUCAAAGAAAUUCGCUCAGAGAUGGGCUCGCGUCUGAUUAGAUAGUUGGUGAGGUAACGGCUCACCAAGUCGACGAUCAGUAGCCGGACUGAGAGGUUGAACGGCCACAUUGGGACUGAGGCACGGCCCAGACUCCUACGGGAGGCAGCAGUGGGGAAUAUUGCACAAUGGAGGGAACUCUGAUGCAGCGAUGCCGCGUGGAGGAAGAAGGUUUUCGGAUUGUAAACUCCUUUUAUCAGGGACGAUAAUGACGGUACCUGAAGAAAAAGCUCCGGCUAACUACGUG